rnacentral:rRNA from 1 species
UGCAAGUCGAACGGCAGCACGGACUUCGGUCUGGUGGCGAGUGGCGAACGGGUGAGUAAUAUAUCGGAACGUGCCCUAGAGUGGGGGAUAACGUAGCGAAAGUUACGCUAAUACCGCAUACGAUCUAAGGAUGAAAGUGGGGGAUCGCAAGACCUCAUGCUCGUGGAGCGGCCGAUAUCUGAUUAGCUAGUUGGUGGGGUAAAAGCCUACCAAGGCGACGAUCAGUAGCUGGUCUGAGAGGACGACCAGCCACACUGGGACUGAGACACGGCCCAGACUCCUACGGGAGGCAGCAGUGGGGAAUUUUGGACAAUGGGGGCAACCCUGAUCCAGCAAUGCCGCGUGUGUGAAGAAGGCCUUCGGGUUGUAAAGCACUUUUGGCGGGAACGAAACGGUGGGGGCUAAUAUCCUCUGCUAAUGACGGUACCCGCAGAAUAAGCACCGGCUAACUACGUGCCAGCAGCCGCGGUAAUACGUAGGGUGCAAGCGUUAAUCGGAAUUACUGGGCGUAAAGCGUGCGCAGGCGGUUGUGCAAGACAGAUGUGAAAUCCCUGGGCUCAACCUAGGAAUUGCAUUUGUGACUGCACGGCUAGAGUGUGUCAGAGGGGGGUAGAAUUCCACGUGUAGCAGUGAAAUGCGUAGAUAUGUGGAGGAAUACCGAUGGCGAAGGCAGCCCCCUGGGAUAACACUGACGCUCAUGCACGAAAGCGUGGGGAGCAAACAGGAUUAGAUACCCUGGUAGUCCACGCCCUAAACGAUGUCUACUAGUUGUCGGGUCUUAAUUGACUUGGUAACGCAGCUAACGCGUGAAGUAGACCGCCUGGGGAGUACGGUCGCAAGAUUAAGACUCAAAGGAAUUGACGGGGACCCGCACAAGCGGUGGAUGAUGUGGAUUAAUUCGAUGCAACGCGAAAAACCUUACCUACCCUUGACAUGUACGGAAUUCUACUGAGAGGUGGGAGUGCUCGAAAGAGAGCCGUAACACAGGUGCUG